UCUAUUUCUUCCUCUAAACUCUAUUUUAUAGCAAAUUUUGCUCCAACCCACCUCUAUAUCCACCUCUAUUAUAGAGAUUGCUAUUUUUAUCUCUAUAUAUAGAGGAACUCUAUUUUUUCCUCUAUAAAUAGAGGUGAACUAUUUUCUUACAAAAUAGUCCUUUUAAUCUCAAACUUCUUUUAUUUAUGACCAAAAUAAAUAAAAUAAAUAUAUUUAAUAACUAA
rnacentral:lncRNA from 1 species